GGGUUGUGAGGUUAAGCGACUAAGCGUACACGGUGGAUGCCCGGCAGUCAGAGGCGAUGAAGGACGUGCUAAUCUGCGAAAAGCGCCGGCGAGGUGAUAUGAACCUUUGACCCGGCGAUGUCCGAAUGGGGAAACCCAGUGUGAUUCGUCACACUAUCGUUAACUGAAUACAUAGGUUAACGAGGCGAACCGGGGAACUGAAACAUCUAAGUACCCCGAGGAAAAGAAAUCAACCGAGAUUCCCCAGUAGCGGCGAGCGAACGGGGAGCAGCCCGGAGUCUGAAUCAGCUUGUGUGUUAGUGGAACGGUCUGGAAAGUCCGACGGUACAGGGUGAUAGUCCCGUACACGAAAAUGCACAGGUUGUGAACUCGAAGAGUAGGGCGGGACACGUGGUAUCCUGUCUGAAUAUGGGGGACCAUCCUCCAAGGCUAAAUACUCCUGACUGACCGAUAGUGAACCAGUACCGUGAGGGAAAGGCGAAAAGAACCCCGGCGAGGGGAGUGAAAAAGAACCUGAAACCGUGUACGUACAAGCAGUGGGAGCCUCUUUAUGGGGUGACUGCGUACCUUUUGUAUAAUGGGUCAGCGACUUAUAUUCUGUAGCAAGGUUAACCGAAUAGGGGAGCCGAAGGGAAACCGAGUCUUAACUGGGCGUUAAGUUGCAGGGUAUAGACCCGAAACCCGGUGAUCUAGCCAUGGGCAGGUUGAAGGUUGGGUAACACUAACUGGAGGACCGAACCGACUAAUGUUGAAAAAUUAGCGGAUGACCUGUGGCUGGGGGUGAAAGGCCAAUCAAACCGGGAGAUAGCUGGUUCUCCCCGAAAGCUAUUUAGGUAGCGCCUCGUGAACUCAUCUUCGGGGGUAGAGCACUGUUUCGGCUAGGGGGCCAUCCCGGCUUACCAACCCGAUGCAAACUACGAAUACCGAAGAAUGUUAUCACGGGAGACACACGGCGGGUGCUAACGUCCGUCGUGAAGAGGGAAACAACCCAGACCGCCAGCUAAGGUCCCAAAGUCAUGGUUAAGUGGGAAACGAUGUGGGAAGGCACAGACAGCCGGGGAUGUUGGCUUAGAAGCAGCCAUCAUUUAAAGAAAGCGUAAUAGCUCACUGGUCGAGUCGGCCUGCGCGGAAGAUGUAACGGGGCUAAACCAUGCACCGAAGCUGCGGCAGCGACACUAUGUGUUGUUGGGUAGGGGAGCGUUCUGUAAGCCGUUGAAGGUGGCCUGUGAGGGUUGCUGGAGGUAUCAGAAGUGCGAAUGCUGACAUAAGUAACGAUAAAGCGGGUGAAAAGCCCGCUCGCCGGAAGACCAAGGGUUCCUGUCCAACGUUAAUCGGGGCAGGGUGAGUCGACCCCUAAGGCGAGGCCGAAAGGCGUAGUCGAUGGGAAACAGGUUAAUAUUCCUGUACUUGGUGUUACUGCGAAGGGGGACGGAGAAGGCUAUGUUAGCCGGGCGACGGUUGUCCCGGUUUAAGCAUGUAGGCGGAGGUUCGGGUAAAUCCGGUACCUUUUAACGCUGAGGUGUGAUGACGAGGCACUACGGUGCUGAAGUAACAAAUGCCCUGCUUCCGGGAAAAGCCUCUAAGCAUCAGGUAACACGAAAUCGUACCCCAAACCGACACAGGUGGUCAGGUAGAGAAUACCAAGGCGCUUGAGAGAACUCGGGUGAAGGAACUAGGCAAAAUGGUGCCGUAACUUCGGGAGAAGGCACGCUGAUAUGUAGGUGAAGCCCCUGCGGGUGGAGCUGAAAUCAGUCGAAGAUACCAGCUGGCUGCAACUGUUUAUUAAAAACACAGCACUGUGCAAACACGAAAGUGGACGUAUACGGUGUGACGCCUGCCCGGUGCCGGAAGGUUAAUUGAUGGGGUUAGCGGUAACGCGAAGCUCUUGAUCGAAGCCCCGGUAAACGGCGGCCGUAACUAUAACGGUCCUAAGGUAGCGAAAUUCCUUGUCGGGUAAGUUCCGACCUGCACGAAUGGCGUAAUGAUGGCCGGCUGUCUCCACCCGAGACUCAGUGAAAUUGAACUCGCUGUGAAGAUGCAGUGUACCCGCGGCAAGACGGAAAGACCCCGUGAACCUUUACUAUAGCUUGACACUGAACACUGGUCCUUGAUGUGUAGGAUAGGUGGGAGGCUUUGAAGCGUGGACGCCAGUCUGCGUGGAGCCAACCUUGAAAUACCACCCUUUAAUGGCUGGUGUUCUAACGUAGACCCGUAAUCCGGGUUGCGGACAGUGUCUGGUGGGUAGUUUGACUGGGGCGGUCUCCUCCCAAAGAGUAACGGAGGAGCACGAAGGUUAGCUAAUCUGGUCGGACAUCAGGAGGUUAGUGCAAUGGCAUAAGCUAGCUUGACUGCGAGAGUGACGGCUCGAGCAGGUGCGAAAGCAGGUCAUAGUGAUCCGGUGGUUCUGAAUGGAAGGGCCAUCGCUCAACGGAUAAAAGGUACUCCGGGGAUAACAGGCUGAUACCGCCCAAGAGUUCAUAUCGACGGCGGUGUUUGGCACCUCGAUGUCGGCUCAUCACAUCCUGGGGCUGAAGUAGGUCCCAAGGGUAUGGCUGUUCGCCAUUUAAAGUGGUACGCGAGCUGGGUUUAGAACGUCGUGAGACAGUUCGGUCCCUAUCUGCCGUGGGCGCUGGAGAAUUGAGGGGGCUGCUCCUAGUACGAGAGGACCGGAGUGGACGCAUCACUGGUGUUCGGGUUGUCAUGCCAAUGGCACUGCCCGGUAGCUAAAUGCGGAAGAGAUAAGUGCUGAAAGCAUCUAAGCACGAAACUUGCCCCGAGAUGAGUUCUCCCUGAGACUAUAAGUCUCCUGAAGGAACGUUGAAGACGACGACGUUGAUAGGUCGGGUGUGUAAGCGUAGCGAUGCGUUGAGCUAACCGAUACUAAUGAACCGUGAGGCUUAACCUUACAACGCCGAAGGUGUUU
rnacentral:rRNA from 1 species